GACGAACGCUGGCGGCGUGCUUAACACAUGCAAGUCGAACGAGGCCCUCCCUUCGGGGAGGUGUCCUAGUGGCGAACGGGUGAGUAACACGUGGGCAACCUGCCCUCAGCUCUGGGAUAACCCCAAGAAAUUGGGGCUAAUACCGGAUAUGACCGCUGACCGCAUGGUCGGUGGUGGAAAGAUUUAUCGGCUGAGGAUGGGCCCGCGGCCUAUCAGCUUGUUGGUGGGGUAGUGGUCUACCAAGGCGACGACGGGUAGCCGGCCUGAGAGGGUGACCGGCCACACUGGGACUGAGACACGGCCCAGACUCCUACGGGAGGCAGCAGUGGGGAAUAUUGCGCAAUGGGCGAAAGCCUGACGCAGCGACGCCGCGUGGGGGAUGACGGCCUUCGGGUUGUAAACCUCUUUCAGCAGGGACGAAGCGAAAGUGACGGUACCUGCAGAAGAAGCACCGGCCAACUACGUGCCAGCCGCCGCGGUAAAAC
rnacentral:rRNA from 1 species